CUUGGUGGCUGAGUUGGUUAAAGGCGCUAGACUGUAAAUCUAGUGACAUUGUCUACGCAGGUUCGAAUCCUGCCCAAGUCA
rnacentral:tRNA from 1 species